rnacentral:rRNA from 1 species
UGGCGGCGUGCUUACACAUGCAAGUCCAACGUGAAAGGGGAGCAAUCCCCCGGUAAGGUGGCGAACGGGUGAGUAAGACAUGGGAAUCUGCCCUGGAGAUGGGGAUAUGCCCUGCCGAAAGGGGGGCUGAAUACCGAGUACCGUCCGGGAAACGAGGGGAUUUCGGGGAAAGGGAGGCCUCUGGCAACAUGCUGCCGCUCCGGGAGGAGCCCAUGGCCCAUGCAGCUAGUGGGGAGGGUAACGGCCUACCAAGGCCGAAGACUCGG